rnacentral:lncRNA from 1 species
GGAGCGUCUGGGCAGUGACCACUGUAUGAAACCCUCCCCCACUCUGUCCGACUGGCUUCUAACUGUGGUGGCUGUCUGGGGAACCUGCACUGAGUCACAAAGCCUCUCUGAGCCUGCGUUUCUCUCUGUGGAAAGUGAAGAACCGCUCACGUCACCUUAAACGUGAACAAGCCAAUAGGUCCUUCAUAUGCCAAGAGCACCCACAAGGCAGAUCCACGCCCACAUGACUCCCAUGGAGAAAGAAGGCUUGCGUUCACGCCUCAGCUCCUUCUAAUCAGCCCUUCCCCACCUCCAGCUUCUUUCCCCAUCUGCUCAUCCUUGAAUAGACAUCUCUGCUCCCUCAUUAGGGAGCAAUAGAGUCAACAAGUUGACACUCUCUGGGAAGUUUUCACCCCUAACAUGAUCUACCAGGCUUUCUGUGGUAACAAUGCAGCAGUGAU